rnacentral:misc_RNA from 1 species
GAACGCAUCUUGCGCUCCUUGGUAUUCCUUGGAGCAUGCCUGUUUGAGUAUCAUGAGCAAAUCUCAAAGUCAAUUCCUUUUGUUAAUUCAAUUGGUUUUGCUUUGGACUUGGAGGUCUUGCAGAUUUCACAGUCUGCUCCUCUUAAAUCCAUUAGCUGGAUCUCAGUAAUUAUGCUUGGUUCCACUCGGCGUGAUAAGUAUCACUCGCUGAGGACACUGUUAAAAAGGUGGCCAGGAAAAUACUGAUUGAACCGCUUCUAACGGUCUAUUAAGUUAGACAAUUGACCCUUAAGUUUGAUCUCAAAUCAGGUAGGACUACCCGCUGAACUUA